rnacentral:rRNA from 1 species
UGAGGAAUAUUGGACAAUGGACCGAGAGUCUGAUCCAGCAAUUCUGUGUGCACGAUGAAGUUUUUCGGAAUGUAAAGUGCUUUCAGUUGGGAAGAAAGAAAUGACGGUACCAACAGAAGAAGUGACGGCUAAAUACGUGCCAGCAGCCGCGGUAAUACGUAUGUCACGAGCGUUAUCCGGAUUUAUUGGGCGUAAAGCGCGUCUAGGUGGUUAUAUAAGUCUGAUGUGAAAAUGCAGGGCUCAACUCUGUAUUGCGUUGGAAACUGUAUAACUAGAGUACUGGAGAGGUAAGCGGAACUACAAGUGUAGAGGUGAAAUUCGUAGAUAUUUGUAGGAAUGCCGAUGGGGAAGCCAGCUUACUGGACAGAUACUGACGCUGAAGCGCGAAAGCGUGGGUAGCAAACAGGAUUAGAUACCCUGGUAGUCCACGCUGUAAACGAUGAUUACUAGGUGUUGGGGGUCGAACCUCAGCGCCCAAGCAAACGCGAUAAGUAAUCCGCCUGGGGAGUACGUACGCAAGUAUG